AAUAGGAAGCUCUUCCCCUGGAAACCGAGAGGUUCAACGUUAUUCUGAAUGGUUGGUCUGAUGUUACUGUCGACGUGCUUAAAGCUAAGAGAAUUCGGAGAGAGAUGUCGAGAUGCUGUAUCACACCAAGUGCGACAUCGUAUUCUCACAUGAUCUCCUGCUUCUGGAAGGCAUAUAAUUUGUCUAAAGAUCACAAGCCGGACCUUGAGAUUGAGAGAGAGAGAGAGAGAGAGAGAGAGAGAGAGAGAGAGAGAGAGAGAGAAUUCUUCAAGCUGGGGGUUUCAUUCAAGUUGGGCGGGUCAAUGGAAGUUUGAAUCUGGCAAGAGCUAUUGGAGAUGUGGAAUUCAAGCAGAACAAAUCACCCCCAGCUGAAAGACAGAUUGUAACUGCAAAUCCUGACAUAACUAUUACUGAGCUCUGCAAAGAUGAUGAGUAUCUUGUACUAGCAUGCGACGGAACAUGGUACUUCAUUACGACUUUUUGCUCAUAUCAUUUUCCUCUACCAACAAAUAAUCUGACAGCCAACUAUUUUUGGGUCCAUAAGCUUGAGGAAGUGAACUUGAAACAGACGUGCUACACAU